UACGUAGGGGGCUAGCGUUAUCCGGAAUUACUGGGCGUAAAGGGUGCGUAGGUGGUUUCUUAAGUCAGAAGUGAAAGGCUACGGCUCAACCGUAGUAAGCUUUUGAAACUAAGAGACUUGAGUGCAGGAGAGGAGAGUAGAAUUCCUAGUGUAGCGGUGAAAUGCGUAGAUAUUAGGAGGAAUACCAGUUGCGAAGGCGGCUCUCUGGACUGUAACUGACACUGAGGCAAGAAAGCGUGGGGAGCAAACAGG
rnacentral:rRNA from 1 species